GAUACGACAAGCUUUUGCGAGAAAAAUGAAAAAGUAUGAUUCUUCAAUGACACGAUCCUCGAAUGCGGGAAUCAAGUCGGAGGUUUUCAAGAAAAGGCCAUGGGACGAAAGUAAAGACGAUGAUGAUUGUGAUACAAUCGCUGAAACAGAAUUUCGUCUUCCUCGUCCGAUAUUGACACCUUU